rnacentral:rRNA from 1 species
CCCUUAGAUGUUCUGGGCCGCACGCGCGCUACACUGAUGCAUUCAACGAGUUUCUUCCUGGUCCGAGAGGAAUGGGUAACCUUUUGAAAGUGCAUCGUGAUAGGGAUAGACUAUUGCAAUUAUUGGUCUUCAACGAGGAAUUCCUAGUAGACGUAGUUCAUCAGACUGCAUCGAUUACGUCCCUGCCCUUUGUACACACCGCCCGUCGCUCCUACCGAUUGAAUGCUCAGGUGAGCCAUUCGGACUUUCAUCAUGCUGGUUUCCAGUUUUGAUGAAGGAAAGUCUUGCGAACCUUAUCAUUUAGAGGAAGUAGAAGUCGUAACA